GGAAGUUGUUUCUGGCAGGUAUGAGGCUCAGUUCUCACAGAAGAGCAAACAGCUGCUCCAGCCCCAAACCCUGCAAGUGCAGCGCUUGUCUCCAUAGAUAGAUGCAUGCUGGCCCGGGGAGCCUGCCACCUCCAGGGCCCAACUACUUCUCAGAGUGGGGGAGGGGUCCAGCAUCUGGUGAGCCGCAGCUCCCAAAGCUCCUGGCUGACAUAUCCACCAACUUGUGAUGCCAGCCACAAACACGUGGAAGGCAGAAGUGCCUCUCCCUGGGAAUGAAAAGGCAACAGUAUGGAAAGCAGAAGCCAGACGCGAACUGAGAGAGCACACAGAAAGAAUCAGGGCACAGCCAAACUUCUAAUCAGAGAUAGCAUGCAAAAAGAAGAUCCAGCCUUCAGGAAUAUGCAGAAGGUCUGGCAAAGGCUGACACUGGACUAAUGAAUGUAGAUCAACCAGGGACAAAUAAGGAGAAGAAAAGCUAUGGAUUCCUUUGAAAGGAAUGAAAAUCAGAUUUGACCAGGGGGAGACCCCUGAAGAUCCUGGCUGCAGACAUGAAAGAAAUCAAGAAUACCAAUAAAACAGACACGUCAGCUCCUGGCAGCACCCCCAUUCUACUUCAGAGAAGAUGAUGAGCAUCGAGAACCUCCAUAGGAAGUUUGCUUCAAACUUUCCAAACUGGACAACCAGGAUGCAGGGAAAUCAACUGCUGAGCUUUUCAAGGACAGGGUAGGCAAGUCCUUCAUCAUUCCUGCUCCACAGAAUGAUCUGUCAGAUAGUCUGAACGAGAAGGCUGAAGAUGAGCGCUCCAAUGACUCAGGGAAAUGUCAUGUGACUGUCCUGGCAGCCAGCUGUUUCUGUCAUUUCUAUAGAUUUGGAAGCUGCUUCAUUUGCACUUCCUGCAUACUCCGGUAAUUCUAUCCCUUCUCCGGUCUCUGAUGGAGCUGAAGACUAGAUAGUUAUAGUCUUAAGCUUAAAUUGUUUAGGAUUUGAGAAAAUGUUUUACAGUCUAGGAAGCUAUUCUUAGGUUUAUAAAUGCAAAUUUUGAUAGAAAAUGAUUUAUGUACAGAACUCUAACUCACCAAGACAGGAUAGAUAAUAGAGUCCUUUUUCCAACAUUGCUAAAUACAAAUGGACUGGACAUUGUGAAUGUAA